UAUAAGUAGUUAAAACACUCCAAUUAAAAAGCAGAGAUUGUGAAACUGGAUAACUAUAUGCCCUCUAAAAGAAACCCACUUUAAACGUAAAGACACACUGGUUAAAAGGACAGAAAAAGGUAUACACCAUGAAUUACUUAUCAAAGGAAAUCCCAAAGUCAAAGUAAAUUAAUAUUAAUAAUAGGCAAAACAGAUUUCAGAACAAGGAAUGUUAUCAGGGAUCAAGUGAGGUAUUUCAUAUUGAUGAAAGGAUCAACUUAUCAAAAGAAUAUAACAAUCCAAAAUGUAUAUGCCCUUUUCUAACAAAGAUUUGAGAUACAUCUGGAGG